UACGUAGGGGGCGAGCGUUGUCCGGAUUUAUUGGGCGUAAAGAGCGUGUAGGCGGCUUGGUAGGUCUGCUGUGAAAUUUCGGGGCUCAACCCCGAACUUGCAGUGGGUACGGGCAGACUAGAGUGUGGUAGGGGAGACUGGAAUUCCUGGUGUAGCGGUGAAAUGCGCAGAUAUCAGGAGGAACACCGAUGGCGAAGGCAGGUCUCUGGGCCACUACUGACGCUGAGAAGCGAAAGCAUGGGGAGCGAACAGG
rnacentral:rRNA from 1 species